UACGAUUAUUUACAAUGGUUACGGCUAAGCCUCAAUCACCCAGUUUUGACAAUGACGACGUGAGGCAUCCUUACCCAUUAUUAUAUGGUCUACAUAUUGAUUUAGAUAUUGCAUAGAUCUAACCAAUGCUACAUCUACGUAUCUUAUUAAUGACAUUUCUUUCAAAAAAGAGAAAACAUCCUAUGCGUUUCAUAGGUCAAUCUAGUCAUACAUGUUAAUUAGUGACUUUAAGUCUGCUAAAUUGCUGCAUUUUCCUGGCUGAUUCAGGCAACCCAUUUCAUGCACUAAUAGCAGUAGGGAAUAUGGAGCUUAUGGAAUGAGGAAUGUGCCUUUAUCUUUUUGUAUUUGAAGAUUAUGGUUGUCAAUUUUAAAUAGAAAAGAAGUGAUUGAGUCUCAAUUGUCUUAAUACUUUUAAUCAGAUUGAAAGAUAUGCAUCAAAUAUAUUGUGAUGAUUACAUCUUAAGACAUGAGUUACUUUGAUUGUGAAACGGAGUAUCUGAAAAAAGAAUUAUCUGUCUGCCUUAUUGACAUUCUGACAAAAUUGGUGAAGAUAAGACCUAGAGAUCCUAUCGAAUAUGUAGCCCUUUCAUUGAAGCAAUUUAGGACUUUGCAUCCAUUUAUAAAUCAAGGGAAACAACAAUGUGAUCUUACAUCUGCUACAGAGAAUGCACACAUUAUCUCCCACUUUCAAUCUUCAUUGCCAACAGAAAGUUAUCCUACAAGGUUUACUAGUGUGUUACUCCAAAGGAAUUUCAAAAGUUGUACUACUACUACUCUUGAUAUAGAAUCAGAAAGUAGUGCCUUAGAAAGUAGUUCCUUAGAAAGUAAUUCCUUAGAAUGUAGUGAUAUUUUUGUUCAUAAAGAAUUCCUAAGUCAAACAAUACUUGAAGAUCUAUUUGAUGAUGAGGAUUUGAGUUAAUUUAAGAAGAUAAAACCUUUUUUGGGCAGUUUGCAUUAUAAUUAUAUUCUACUUUUAUUAAAUUGGUCAAAAGAAAAAGUUCCCCUUUCAGACUUUGCUGUCUAUAGGGCUGAUGAUGUGGGAGAUAAAGGCAUCUGUUUCUGUGGCCCAUGGUUAACAAUGGUGAUGUGGCCAGCACAAUGACCAUCCACCUUUACUUUACCCCAACAAGUGUCAGAUACCCAUUAGAGUUGGGUGGACUCAGAUGCUCCCUAAGAUCCCAAAAUGAAAAAUCUCAGUAUUCAAACUUGGGACCUUCUGGUUAGUAAGCCAAGUGCUUUACCACUCAGCCACUGUGCCUCCAAAUUUGGUAUGGCCUUCGAUAAGAAAAGGUUAAAAGUAGCAAUUAAUAAUAAAAUUCAAAGUAAUAUUUAUUUUCAUUUUUAGACAUUUUUGUGUGUGGUGUAUGCUUCAGAGUGUGGUGACGAAGGUUCUGGGGCCAAACCACCAUGUCAUCCCCUGCCAUCCUGCAGGAGGUUUAGGUAGGACAAUUGGACAUAAUAAUAUUCAUUUCUGAAGGAAAGCCUUAAAGUCUAUUACAUUUUUUAUGUAGACCUGCUAUUUGAUAAUAUGAUACUAACUUGAACGCCCUGACUGUUGUUUUUUUUUGUAUCACAAUCUAUCUCUGAAGUCUUUUUCUUAAUCCCUAUAACACUUAUCUUCUAUAUGAUUAAUAAAUUCAUACUUGCAAGAUUUUUUCUGGACAUUAUUUAAAAGUUGAUAUUUCAUUAUGGUCUGUGCUGGAUGUGUCAAAAUAUGUAGGUCACAGCUGGGACUGUAUAGGCGUGGGAAAUACUUCAUUUCUCAUUAAUCUUUGGUUUUGAAGACAUGCUUCAAAGUUGAUAAUUCAUGACUCAAAACUAUUCCUCCGACAUAAUCUAUUUGAUGUUGAAUGAAAUGAGAUGACCUCUGUCGUUGUUAUUGCUCAUCAGACAUUAGCUACUUUCAUAUUGUAUACCCAUAACAUUAUAUGUACUAACAUAACUUUAUUCUAAAGAAUACUUUUGAAAAAUUGACAAAUUAUUUGUAAUUAUUUGUUGCUAGAAAACAUACUACUUUUAAUCUUUGAGAAUAGUUUAACUAUGAAUUGUGAGCCAUUGAAAAUUGUAUGCCAGGUGUGUAGCAGAACAUAGAAAAGAAACUAUUUAAAAUCAUUCAUAGGUAAAUUGUUUAAAAACCCAAAAUAUGCAUUUAAAGAACCAUUGAUAUCAUAAAGUAUAGUUCUCUAUAAAUUUCAUGUCUCGAUUUAACACAAAUUUUAUAUGAAAUUAAUACAUGUUUUAUAACUAAUAUAAAGGGAAAAAAAAUAUAUUGACAUAUUUUAAUCUUUUAAUAAUGGCAUUAUUAAUAUGUCAAAGUGAAUUAUUGUUAUUUGUUAAAAAAAAAGGUAAAAUGCCAACUUAAAUUUUUUUUUGGAUACAUUUUUAUAUUGUGAAAUUUAUUUUAUAUUUAGUUAUUUAAGAAAGUAUAUUGCUGUUAAAUUUGAAUGAUCUUAAUGUCAAUCUUGUCUAUUUGAAAAAAAAAAAGCACACACAAAAUAAGCUGGAUUGGAUGGGAUGCUGUUCUUUACCACUUUUUUGUCAUUAAUUUUGUAAAUGUUGUGCAUUCAAGUGUAUAAUCAUUUAAGUUAUUUGAUUCAAUGGGAAAUGUAUCUCAUUUGUAUUGCUUGUUUUUAUUUGAAUAUACUUUUGUUGAUGAAAAAGAUGUGCCUCAAAUAAUAUUUUUGUUUAUUAAAAUUAAUUUCACUUUGUUGAAAGGCUUUAUUAAGGAUUUUUCUUUCUUUUUAACUAAAGAAUAAAGAGCAAUCUUCAGGAGGAUAUAAAGAAGUAAUGAAAAUAUUUUUUCUUGUGUUUUUCUUGUGUUUUUCUUUCUUAAAUAAUAAGUAGAUCCAAGUAUACAAUUAAUAAUAUAAACUAUUGAUCAUUUAAUAUCUAAAACAGCAUCUCAUCUUUUAAACUGUUACACUUUUAUUACAUUUUUCUUUGCCCUAUACAACUACAAUGACAAAAGUAUUUUAGGUUUCAAUUGCAACAUAGUCAAUUUUUUUUACAAAGCUUAUACUGACUCACUCUGGGAAGAAUCUUGUACACAUUAUUUCUUCAACUUCCCAUUCUCAGAUCAAGUUGAAACUUUGCACAUUUAUUCUUUGCCAAUGACAAUGCAUGAAUCAGUUUUAAAAGUUUACUAAUUAGAUGAUCAAUUAUUUGUUAUUAAUUAAUUUUGUUUUAUAUAUAAAAUGUAUUAUGCUAAGGGGAGAGAUGCCUUGUUAAGAGUCAUUCAGAUUAUAUGGUCGCAAAAGAAAAUAAUUAAUUAAACUAACAAAAGACUUCUUUUUUUUAAUAAGUAUAUACUUGAAUAGCUUAGUGUCCAUCUUCCACUGUGGAUGAUUGAGUUGAAAUUCAGACACAAGCAACCUUUCAUAUUUUUUAAAAUUGCUUUUAAAAAAGCAGUUCCCUUCUUUCCGAAAUGGUCUAUUGAUAUGA